GACGAACGCUGGCGGCGUGCCUAAUACAUGCAAGUAGAACGCUGAAGAGAGGAGCUUACUCUUCUUGGAUGAGUUGCGAACGGGUGAGUAACGCGUAGGUAACCUGCCUUGUAGCGGGGGAUAACUAUUGGAAACGAUAGCUAAUACCGCAUAACAAUGGAUGACACAUGUCAUUUAUUUGAAAGGGGCAAUUGCUCCACUACAAGAUGGACCUGCGUUGUAUUAGCUAGUAGGUGAGGUAAUGGCUCACCUAGGCGACGAUACAUAGCCGACCUGAGAGGGUGAUCGGCCACACUGGGACCGAGACACGGCCCAGACUCCUACGGGAGGCAGCAGUAGGGAAUCUUCGGCAAUGGGGGCAACCCUGACCGAGCAACGCCGCGUGAGUGAAGAAGGUUUUCGGAUCGUAAAGCUCUGUUGUAAGUCAAGAACGGGUGUGAGAGUGGAAAGUUCACACUGUGACGGUAGCUUACCAGAAAGGGACGGCUAACUACGUG
rnacentral:rRNA from 1 species